GUGGGGAAUUUUGGACAAUGGGCGCAAGCCUGAUCCAGCCAUGCCGCGUGCAGGAUGAAGGCCUUCGGGUUGUAAACUGCUUUUGUACGGAACGAAAAAGCUCUCUCUAAUACAGGGGGUGAAUGACGGUACCGUAAGAAUAAGCACCGGCUAACUACGUGCCAGCAGCCGCGGUAAUACGUAGGGUGCAAGCGUUAAUCGGAAUUACUGGGCGUAAAGCGUGCGCAGGCGGUUAUGUAAGACAGAGGGGAAAUCCCCGGGCUCAACCUGGGAACUGCCUUGGGUACUGCAUAGCUGGAGUGCGGCAGAGGGGGAUGGAAUUCCGCGUGUAGCAGUGAAAUGCGUAGAUAUGCGGAGGAACACCGAUGGCGAAGGCAAUCCCCUGGGCCUGCACUGACGCUCAUGCACGAAAGCGUGGGGAGCAAACAGGAUUAGAUACCCGAGUAGUCC
rnacentral:rRNA from 1 species